GAUGAACGCUGGCGGCGUGCCUAAUACAUGCAAGUCGAGCGAACGGACGAGAAGCUUGCUUCUCUGAUGUUAGCGGCGGACGGGUGAGUAACACGUGGAUAACCUACCUAUAAGACUGGGAUAACUUCGGGAAACCGGAGCUAAUACCGGAUAAUAUUUUGAACCGCAUGGUUCAAAAGUGAAAGACGGUCUUGCUGUCACUUAUAGAUGGAUCCGCGCUGCAUUAGCUAGUUGGUAAGGUAACGGCUUACCAAGGCAACGAUGCAUAGCCGACCUGAGAGGGUGAUCGGCCACACUGGAACUGAGACACGGUCCAGACUCCUACGGGAGGCAGCAGUAGGGAAUCUUCAGCAAUGGGCGAAAGCCUGACGGAACAACGCCGCGUGAGUGAUGAAGGUCUUCGGAUCGUAAAACUCUGUUAUUAGGGAAGAACAUAUGUGUAAGUAACUGUGCACAUCUUGACGGUACCUAAUCAGAAAGCCACGGCUAACUACGUG
rnacentral:rRNA from 1 species